AGACACAUUCUGGGGACACCAGAGACUUUUACAUCUUGUGAAAAGGGGCAUUAAAAUUGUCUACUAAUACUCUAAUGAGAGUUAGUUGACAUUUAGUUACUUAUUGUGAGUAGUGUAAUGUCUAAAGUGGACCAUCAAAAUAAAGUGUAACCUAAUAUUUUCUUUAAACAGCGACUCAGCUCACCACUAGAAGGCUAUCGUAUGACUUUAGAAAUCUUUACAAAUUUUGUCAAUUUGCCAAUUUAGGAAUUUGACAGCUCCGGACUUAUGUUCUUUUUAGGUUUCAGUCGUUCAAUAUGUUCAUUAUGAGUGAUUACUGCAUCUUAGUGUGGUCUGUCUGGAGCUGUGAGAGUUGUGUCUACAGUGGGCAGUAGGAACAGCUGGUGUCGGGUGUCCGGGAGAGAGUUGCCUCCGAUGGGCAUGAAGAUCACCAUGGGUACAGACAUUUGGGCCUGCAAAAACAAAGAUUAUGCCAUGGAGCCGGAAUGUGAGGGGGCCGAUAUCACUGUCUGAAAGAAAGGAGGGAAGAAGAAAGGAAUAGACGAGAUGAAGUUGUCACAAGUCGGCCGUCUGGAUGAAUCGCAGAGAAAUAUCUCCCGGCUCCCUAUCGAGCAAGGCCAAAACAGCGCGCUCGUAGUGUCCGGCGCGAAAUGGCAGUUGUUCUUCAGGGAUCAAUGCGUUGACCAGGAGGGCCUCCCUCCCCUGGAGACUGUCAUUUCUUCUAGGAAUUCACAGAAGUGGAAGAUGAAAGCCUUGUGUCAUCGGCUCACCCAAAAACACCCGUCCGUAAGAGUCUCAGCCAAUGCCACAUCAAGGCCAAGGCCGGAGAGAGAGAGAGACAGGGCCGCCAUCUUAACCGGCUCUGCUUCAUAACUUCAGCCAUUUAUACCGAUCAGAUGUGACAGGCCUACAGAUCCAUGAAGUCCAUCUUUCUGCUUGAAGAUGUUGUGCAUGACAUGUAAACUAAGGUCAGCAUGAGUUUUGAGAUGUUGUGCAUCUGCAUCAGAAUCCAAGGCAAAAAUGAUAUCCUUUAUGCUGGAUAAUUAAUUAAUUUUUAAGUUUAUAUGCAUCUUUUUACAGAAGUAGAAGUAGGUAGAUGUUAAAAAUCACUGUGUUUUAUCUUGUAAAUUAAAUAGUUUUAAAUAUUUUCAUUUGUGUUCAUUUUGCAAUUCGAUUUUUCCCUCUCAUAUGUCUUAGUUUUUUGUUUUUUUUAAAAAUUGAAUGCAUGGCUGUUUUUAGAGCGAGAAAAGACCAAAAUAAGAUCGCAGGGAGAAAUUGAUCACAGACAAGAAAUACUUUAAUUAAAUAUUAUGUAAAAUGAACAACUUUGUACAACAAAAUGUAGAAAUGUGGCCAUAAAACAACUCAAAUAAAUCCAUACAUGAGCC